rnacentral:rRNA from 1 species
UACGUAGGGUGCAAGCGUUAAUCGGAAUUACUGGGCGUAAAGCGUGCGCAGGCGGUUUUGUAAGUUUGUCGUGAAAGCCCCGGGCUCAACCUGGGAAUUGCGAUGAAGACUGCAAGGCUUGAAUCUGGCAGAGGGGGGGUAGAAUUCCACGUGUAGCAGUGAAAUGCGUAGAGAUGUGGAGGAACACCGAUGGCGAAGGCAGCCCCCCUGGGCUAACACUGACGCUCAUGCACGAAAGCGUGGGGAGCAAACAGG